UAGGGAAUAUUAGAAAUGGACGAAAGUCUGAUCUAGCAACACCGCGUGUGCGAAGAAGGCCUUUGGGUCGUAAAGCACUUUUUGGAAGGAAUAGGAAGGAAUGUACUUCCAGAAUAAGUCUCGGCUAACUACGUGCCAGCAGCCGCGGUAACACGUAGGAGGCAAACGUUAUCCGGAUUUACUGGGCGUAAAGCGCGUGUAGGUGGUACUGUAAGUAGGGCGUGAAAGCUCCUGGCUCAACUGGGAGAGGCCGUUCUAAACUACAGAACUAGAGGAUGGUAGAGGGAGGUGGAAUUCCAGGUGUAGCGGUGGAAUGCGCAGAUAUCUGGAGGAACACCGGUGGCGAAGGCGGCCUCCUGGACCAUUCCUGACACUCAGACGCGAAAGCUAGGG
rnacentral:rRNA from 1 species